rnacentral:misc_RNA from 1 species
AAGUCGUAACAAGGUUUCCGUAGGUGAACCUGCGGAAGGAUCAUUAUUGAAAUAAACCUGAUGGGUUGCUGCUGGCUCUCUCUAGGGAGCAUGUGCACACUUGUCAUCUUUAUAUCUCCACCUGUGCACCUUUUGUAGAUCUGGAUAUCUUUCUGAAUGCCUGGCAUUCAGGUUUGAGGAGUUGACUUUUGUCUCUCCUUACAUUUCCAGACCUAUGUUUUCUUCACAUACACCAUUUAUGUCAUAGAAUGUAAUUGAAAGGGCCUUUGUGCCUACAAACCUUAUACAACUUUCAGCAAC